rnacentral:rRNA from 1 species
GACGAACGCUGGCGGCGUGCUUAACACAUGCAAGUCGAGCGAUGAAGCACCUUCGGGUGUGAAUUAGCGGCGAACGGGUGAGGAACACGUGAAGAAUCUGCCUUCAACUCUGGGAUAACUCCGGGAAACCGGGGCUAAUACCGGAUAUGAGCCUUGAUCGCAUGAUCGGGGCUGGACAGUUUUUCGGUUGAAGAUGAUUUCGCGGCCUAUCAGCUUGUUGGUGAGGUAAGGGCUCACCAAGGCGAUGACGGGUAGCCGGCCUGAGAGGGCGACCGGCCACACUGGGACUGAGACACGGCCCAGACUCCUACGGGAGGCAGCAGUGGGGAAUAUUGGGCAAUGGAGGAAACUCUGACCCAGCGACGCCGCGUGAGGGAUGAAGGCCUUCGGGUUGUAAACCUCUUUCAGUAGGGAAGAAGCGAAAGUGACGGUACCUACAGAAGAAGCACCGGCUAACUAUGUGCCAGCCGCCGCGGUAA